rnacentral:rRNA from 1 species
AUAUGGAGGGUGCAAGCGUUACUCGGAAUCACUGGGCGUAAAGCGCGCGCAGGCGGCUUGGUAAGUUGGAUGUGAAAGCCUACGGCUCAACCGUAGAACUGCAUCCAAAACUGUCAAGCUAGAGUGUGGGAGAGGAAGAUGGAAUUAGUUGUGUAGGGGUAAAAUCCGUAGAGAUAACUAGGAAUACCAAAAGCGAAGGCAAUCUUCUGGAACACUACUGACGCUGAGGCGCGAAAGCGUGGGGAGCAAACAGGAUUAGAAACCCUAGUAGUCC